AGCAAUGCCGCGUGAACGAAGAAGGUUCUCGGAUCGUAAAGUUCUGUUGUAAGGGAAGAACGACGUACGGGAGUAACUAGCCCGUACCUUGACGGUACCUUAUUAGAAAGCCACGGCUAACUACGUGCCAGCAGCCGCGGUAAUACGUAGGUGGCAAGCGUUGUCCGGAAUUAUUGGGCGUAAAGCGCGCGCAGGCGGUCUUUUAAGUCUGAUGUGAAAGCCCACGGCUCAACCGUGGAAGGUCAUUGGAAACUGGGAGACUUGAGUACAGAAGAGGAAAGCGGAAUUCCACGUGUAGCGGUGAAAUGCGUAGAGAUGUGGAGGAACACCAGUGGCGAAGGCGGCUUUCUGGUCUGUAACUGACGCUGAGGCGCGAAAGCGUGGGGAGCAAACAGGAUUAGAUACCCUGGUAGUCCACGCCGUAAACGAUGAGUGCUAAGUGUUAGGGGGUUUCCGCCCCUUAGUGCUGCAGCUAACGCAUUGAGCACUCCGCCUGGGGAGUACGGCCGCAAGGCUG
rnacentral:rRNA from 1 species